rnacentral:tRNA from 1 species
GGCCUCGUAGCUCAGUGGUCAGAGCACCGGCCCGUCACGCCGGAAGCCGCGGGUUCGAAUCCCGCCGAGGCCGCCG